CUCGCUGAUCUCGAAUCGAGCAUAGAACUUGAGCAUUUCUAGAAGCUGCAAUCAAAAAACAGGAAGAAACAGCCAUUGGCUGCGAGUGUCGAUCAUCGAUAAAAUCAGAAUCAACAGAGUAGUUGCAUGUAUAAUCAUUCUUCGACGUCAUAGUCAAGAGGAUUGGUCGCAGACAACUUGCCAUAGAGAUACAUUUGAUUUAAUGGAAACGUGCACUUAUUUUGCGAAUAAAAUAUAUAUUCUAUAUAUUUAUGUAUUUAUAUUAUAAUAUAUUUUCGUUAAUAGUCAUUCUUUCUCAACGGAGAUUAAAUUAAUCAGCGCAAAAACAGUGCACUUAAUAAACGAGCUUGCGAACCAAUUAUUAUGGCUCAUAAUUCAUCCGCAUGCUCGACAUACCAAGUAACUCUUCGGGCGCAAUUAGUCGACUGACGUUCGAAGGCAAUAAUGUGCUGAACAUUAAUGAGAACAAUUAGUCAUGAUAAUCGAAUAUCAUAGCCUUCCUUAAUAUAUAUGUUGAUUCUCUUUUACAAUAUAUUUACACAUUUAUAAAGUUACGCGAAUGUAUCACCGACAUUUUAAUUUUUACAUUAAAAAAAUAACGGGAAUAUUCAUCUAAUAUAUACUUCUUCGCCGCAUUCCUA